rnacentral:lncRNA from 1 species
UAUCAGUUUCCUGGUCUAGAUGCAAUGAGAACAAAUUUGGGAGCAGCUGUGAGGAGUACAGUCCAGGAGCAGCUGGAUGAUGGAAGGAGCAUGUGGCUGGAAACAGCUGUCUCACUCACUUGAGUCCAAAUACACUCCCUUGGGAAAAGUUGAUUCAGUUCCAGUUAAAAUUAAGGGUGGCAAACUAGCUUGCACAGUCAGCAGUUCCAGCAGCCUGCCUGUUACAGCCCUUUCCUUCAGGAGUUUAUGAAGAGGAGUGGUAAAAGACCUUUAAGCUGACUGCACACCAUGCAGAGACUGAAAGUAAAGUAUUGCUCAAUUGACCCCUGUGUGCUGCCAAAACCUCAUAAAAAAUACAUAACAUGAAGUGAAAUAGAUCAUUGUACAGGUGUAAAUGACUACACAACAUGCAAGGAAAUCAGAAUCAAACCAGUUGUAACUAAUAAACACUUUCAGGCCAGGAACUAUUGCA